rnacentral:rRNA from 1 species
AUGACCGUGGGGAGGUACCAGGCUCGGUCUGCAUACGAGUUGAAGCCUAGGAUGGGAAUCAACAAGUACACACCUGAAGACUUCACCCAAAGAGGCAAAAGGACGGUCGGCACCUCGCGGAUGGCGGCUUUGGAUGACGUGGACGAACCGGAGCCGGAGCCAGAGCCGGAGCGGGUUCCUCUUCCUAGGAAGGUGAAGAAGAUAAGCGUCAAGAGGGGGGAGGAGCCAGCAAGCGUGGAAAGCACUAGUCAUCGUCAUUUUUUUAUAAUGUUGAACUUAGAGUGGAAUUUGUUAUGUCGUUGA